UGGAAAAAUUCGGCUUUUUGGAACAGCAAGAUCAGUGCUGGACUACGAAACACAGAGACAGUAUAUAUUCAAUGUUGUAGCUAAAGAUUCUACCAACAGGGUAGAUACAGCGACAGUCACUUUAAAUGUACUAAAUGCCAAUGACAACGCCCCUGUAUUCCAACAAGCAUCGUACGUGUACAGCGUUAAUGAAAAUGCACUUGCUACUUUCAAUCCCUCAGUGUCGGCUACUGAUGCAGAUGGCAACACAAUCACUUACAGCCUGGUAAACUUUGAUCCUACCAGGUUUAGUAUUAAUGGAGGGUCUGGCGCAAUCGGAAACACCGUUGGACUGAACUAUGAGGAGCAGAGACAGUAUACAUUUCUUGCUGUUGCGCGUGACAACGGAACUCCCAGCCUGGCUGCAACCGCCUAUGUGACAGUCAAUGUGCUAGAACUGGACGACAACAUUCCAACAUUUGACGGGUCCUAUACUGGAACGAUUCAAGACAAUCUGAUUUCUACAGUAACUCAAAAAGGAACAACAUCUACUCCACUGACAG